GUUGAACGCUGGCGGCAGGCCUAACACAUGCAAGUCGAGCGGAUGAAGGGAGCUUUCUCCUGGAUUCAGCGGCGGACGGGUGAGUAAUGCCUAGGAAUCUGCCUUGUAGUGGGGGAUAACGUCCGUAAACGGGCGCUAAUACCACAUACGUCCUGAUGGAGAAAGUGGGGGAUCUUCGGACCUCACGCUAUCAGAUGAGCCUAGGUCGGAUUAGCUAGUUGGUGGGGUAAAGGCCUACCAAGGCGACGAUCCGUAACUGGUCUGAGAGGAUGAUCAGUCACACUGGAACUGAGACACGGUCCAGACUCCUACGGGAGGCAGCAGUGGGGAAUAUUGGACAAUGGGCGAAAGCCUGAUCCAGCCAUGCCGCGUGUGUGAAGAAGGUCUUCGGAUUGUAAAGCACUUUAAGUUGGGAGGAAGGGCAGUAAGUUAAUACAUUGCUGUUUUGACGUUACCAAAAGAAUAAGCAACGGCUAACUUCGUG
rnacentral:rRNA from 1 species